AUUGAACGCUGGCGGCAGGCCUAACACAUGCAAGUCGAGCGGCAGCGGGAAGUAGCUUGCUACUUUGCCGGCGAGCGGCGGACGGGUGAGUAAUGUCUGGGAAACUGCCUGAUGGAGGGGGAUAACUACUGGAAACGGUAGCUAAUACCGCAUGACCUCGCAAGAGCAAAGUGGGGGACCUUAGGGCCUCACGCCAUUGGAUGUGCCCAGAUGGGAUUAGCUAGUAGGUGAGGUAAUGGCUCACCUAGGCGACGAUCCCUAGCUGGUCUGAGAGGAUGACCAGCCACACUGGAACUGAGACACGGUCCAGACUCCUACGGGAGGCAGCAGUGGGGAAUAUUGCACAAUGGGCGCAAGCCUGAUGCAGCCAUGCCGCGUGUGUGAAGAAGGCCUUCGGGUUGUAAAGCACUUUCAGCGAGGAGGAAGGCGUUAAGGUUAAUAACCUUAGCGAUUGACGUUACUCGCAGAAGAAGCACCGGCUAACUCCGUGCCAGCAGCCGCGGUAAUACGGAGGGUGCAAGCGUUAAUCGGAAUUACUGGGCGUAAAGCGCACGCAGGCGGUUUGUUAAGUCAGAUGUGAAAUCCCCGAGCUUAACUUGGGAACUGCAUUUGAAACUGGCAAGCUAGAGUCUUGUAGAGGGGGGUAGAAUUCCAGGU
rnacentral:rRNA from 1 species